GCCUUCGUUGCCUCGCACGUCCGCCCUUACAAGGCGGUUGUCGGCGGUUCGAAACCGUCCGCGCGCACCA
rnacentral:tRNA from 2 species